rnacentral:rRNA from 1 species
UUGCUCCUUGGGUGACGAGUGGCGGACGGGUGAGUAAUGUCUGGGGAUCUGCCCGAUAGAGGGGGAUAACCACUGGAAACGGUGGCUAAUACCGCAUAACGUCGCAAGACCAAAGAGGGGGACCUUCGGGCCUCUCACUAUCGGAUGAACCCAGAUGGGAUUAGCUAGUAGGCGGGGUAAUGGCCCACCUAGGCGACGAUCCCUAGCUGGUCUGAGAGGAUGACCAGCCACACUGGAACUGAGACACGGUCCACACUCCUACGGGAGGCAGCAGUGGGGAAUAUUGCACAAUGGGCGCAAGCCUGAUGCACCCAUGCCGCGUGUAUGAAGAGGGCCUUCGGGUUGUAAAGUACUUUCAGCGGGGAGGAAGGCGAUGUG